GGGUCUCUAUGACGCGGCGUUCCAGGUCGUCGGACCGUCACAUCACUUUCCGGGCUCCCCGCGCAGCCCGCAGCCAGGGCAGCCGGAGCGGCCGGGCGACAGGAGGCGGCAGCAGCAUGAGCUACUACCAGCUACCGGUGGUGAUCGACAACGGCUCAGGAGUGAUCAAGGCGGGCCUGGCUGGGUCCCGGGAGCCCCAGUUUGUCUACCCGAACUUUAUAGGCCGCGCCAAAGGCCAGACCUGGGGGGCAGAGGGCGCGCAGGAAGUGUGCGUGGGAGACCAAGCGCAGCAGCGGAGAAGUUCACUUUCCAUCAGCUACCCAGUGGAGCGUGGUCUCAUUACUUGCUGGGGGGACAUGGAGAUCAUGUGGAAGCAUAUCUAUGAUGAUAACCUGAAGCUGAAGCCCUGUGAUGGCCCAGUCUUGAUUACAGAGUCAGCACUGAACCCACUGGCCAACCGGCAACGGGUCACUGAAGUGUUUUUUGAGCAUCUGGAGGUUCCUGCCUUCUAUAUGUCCAUCCAGGGGGUGCUAGCUCUCUUUGCUGCUGGCUUCACAACUGGCUUUGUGCUGAAUUCAGGUGCUGGGGUUACCCAGUGUGUACCCAUCUUUGAGGGUUACUGUCUGCCUCAUAGUGUCCAGCAGCUAGAUCUGGCAGGUCUUGACCUUACCAACUACCUCAUGAUGCUGUUGAAGGAGCACGGCAUCACGCCGCUUAGUGCUUCAGACAGAAAGAUUGUCACAGACAUUAAGGAAACCUAUUGUUAUGUGGCAAUGAACUCUGAAGAGGAAAAGGCCAAGAAAGCUGAUUGUAUAGAGAAGGUUUACCAACUACCUGAUGGGAAGACACUCAAACUCCAUGACCAGCUCUUUCAUUGUCCAGAGGCCCUCUUCUCUCCAAGUCUCAUGCAUCUUGAGACCCCUGGCAUCGAUAAGAUGUGCUUCAGCAGCAUAAUGAAAUGUGAUACAGAUCUGAGGAAUUCCUUUUUCUCCAAUAUUAUACUUGCUGGGGGAUCAACCUCUUUCCCUGGUUUAGAUAAGCGGCUAGUUAAAGAUAUAGCAAAGGUGGUGCCUGCCAACACCCCUGUGCAGGUUAUUGCUCCCCCAGAAAGGAAAAUAUCAGUGUGGAUGGGAGGCUCUGUUCUUGCAUCCCUCUCUGCCUUCCAGGACAUGUGGAUCACCGCUGCAGAAUUUAAAGAAGUCGGACCCAACGUGGUACACCAAAGAUGCUUCUGAAUACAGAAAAAAAUGGUUAGAAGAAAAUGUUUUGAGUACAUGUGACAGAAAACUUUGGAUAUUAUAUGUUUCUGGGAGAACCAAAUAUUUCAGUUAUUGGAAGGUCCAUGUCUCUGUUGCAUUUCUAUAAUGGGGGAAAAUAAUGAUGAAGCAGUCAAGUAACAUAUUUAUUGAGUAGAACCAAAUUAAAUGCUAGAGGAGACAUUACUCUUUUACUUUUAUUUAUUUGGCUGUGCCGGGUCUUAGUUGUAGCAGGUGGGCUCCUUAGUUGCAGCAUGCAUCUGGGAUCUAGCUCCCUGACCAGGGAUCGAAGCCGAGUCGCCUACAUGGGAGCGUGGAGUCUUAACCACUGCACCACCAGAGAAGUCCUGAGGAGAUGUUAUUCUUUACCUUGGAGAUCUUACACUUCCUUUGGAGGGAGAGAGCAAUUUGCGGUACAACAUGAUAUGCGCCAAAUGAGUGAUACAGAUUGAAGGUUGUUGAAGUUUAUGGAAGGAAGGUUGCUAUAAGGGAAGAUUUCAUAGCAGAGAUCGCGGUGCCAAUAGCGACAACUCCAUGAAGUUCACUCAAUUGAAGAGUUCAACUUUUAAGAUUAGCCAGUUAUAUGAAAAACAGCAUGUACCGGCCAAUAUAAAA